GACGAACCGUGCGAACGUUGUUCGGAAUCACUGGGCUUAAAGGGCGCGUGAGGCGGGGUUCGCAAGUCGUGUGGUGAAAGCCUCCAGCUUAACUGGACGAAGUGCCGUGGAUACUGCGAGUCUUGAGGAGGGUAGGGGCAUCGUGGAAGCGGUCGGUGGAGCGGUGAAAUGCGUUGAUAUCGACCGGAACUCCGGUGGCGAAGCG
rnacentral:rRNA from 1 species